GGCGGUUGACGGCAACGU
rnacentral:sRNA from 1 species